AGCUUCAUGAGAAGAUAUACAAAACCUUCCACUAAACUUUUGGACGUUCUUAGUUAUCCCUAGUAAGAAACUUGGUGGAAUAAUCAUAAACUAUUUUAACCACCGUCGCGGUCGCGAGGUAGGAAACAGCAGAGACGGUUUUCAAAUCAGCUGCUUCCUUUGUCCAAGACGGCCAUGGUUUCCUCCCGAAAACUUUAUUUGUAAAUUUAUUUUGCCUUU